CGGCGUACAUUGAGGACGAGGAUAUUUUGAACAAACUCAAAAGUUGGGGAGUGUCAGCAUCUUCUCCCAUCAAAAGACGCAUGUGGCCGGGGACCAACGUGGCUGGCGGCACCCACUUUCUGAAGACGGACAACAUGGCAACGGAAAGAGAGACAGUCAAAUCCACAAUGGCACAGAUUAACGGACACAGAGGGAAAAUAACGAUAGAAAACGGAGAAGAUAACACCGAUAGUAAGACGAAGAAAACAGUUAAAAAGUUUGAUAAAAACUUAACGGUGUGUGUGGAAUUGCAAGGAGAAGGCAAAGUUACAACGCCAGAAUUGAAGAAAGCUGUACGGGAGUUAUGCGGGGGAUUGCUAGCAUGCCGGAUGACGGGAGAGAAAAAAUACGAGCUGACAAUGAUGAAUGAGAAAGGCAAAGAGAGACUACUGGAGGGGAUGAAGAUCGGUGAGGUUACAGCGAUGGCCAGAGAGCUAAACAACGGUGAGCUCGUUGUCUCGUUUCUAAACUUGCCGGCGUACAUUGAGGACGAGGAUAUUUUGAACAAACUCAAAAGUUGGGGAGUGUCAGCAUCUUCUCCCAUCAAAAGACGCAUGUGGCCGGGGACCAACGUGGCUGACGGCACCCGCUUUCUGAAGGACUGCAAGACAAAUUCACAGGGGUGGCAGAGGGCCCCUUUUCACACGUGAACAGGAGGAGGCCAUUUGCACCAUGGUAAUAGAAAACAAUGCAAUAAAGACUAAGGGAUAUAAAAAAGUGCCAUUAUAGAGGACAACAACAUCUUUCAAAACAGUCAGCAUCUCAACCAUUGAUAGGGUGCUGAAAAGACACCAAAUGAAUUUGAAGCAGCUCUACACUGUUCCGUUUGAAAGAAAUGGUGAAAGAGUGAAGGAGCUGUGUUACCAAUAUGUACAGCGUAUAAUGGAAUUGGAAGCAAGUGAACCACCACACAGCUUCCUCUACAUGGAUGAAGCUGGCUUCAACCUAACAAAACGUAGAAGGUGUGGUCGAAAUAUCAUCAGCCACAGAGCUACAGUUGAUGUGCCAGGCCAACGGGGCGGAAACAUAACCAUGGGUUGUGCAAUCUCUGAGAAUGGUGUGCUAACGCAUAUUCCCAUUAUUGGGCCAUACAAUACAGAGCGUCUUGUCACCUUUUUAGACACUCUCUACAGGGAUCUCAUCCCUGAACAAGAGAGGGGUCAGAUUGGAGAUGACCUGCCAAAGUAUGUGAUCGUUUGGUACAAUGUCAGUUUCCAUCGUUCCAACAUCAUCAGGCAAUGGUUUGCUGCCCAUGACAGGAUGCUGAUGGAGUUCCUCCCACCCUACUCUCCAUUCCUUAACCCCAUUGAGGAAUUUUUCUCAGCAUGGAGAUGGAAAGUAUACGAUCGUCAGCCACAUACACAAAUGACCCUUCUGGCUGCCAUGGAUGCAGCAUGUGACGACAUCACAGCAGAUGCCUGCAGAAGCUGGAUAAGACAUUCAAAAAGAUUCUUUCCACGCUGCAUUGCAAGAGAAGAUGUUCGUUGUGAUGUGGAUGAGAAUUUGUGGCUCAACAGACAGGAUCGUCAAGAGGUGUAGGAAGAUUGUAAUUCCUUAAUGUAAUUUCUACAGCACCGCAUGUAGAGUUUCCUAUGUUCACAUUUCUUCUUUAGGUUUUUUUUUGUGUGCUAUUCAGUGCUGUCUUUUCAUUUCUGUAUCUCAAUGACAUGUUCUGUCAAUAAAAUACAGUACAAACAGUAAGAGUGUAAAUUUGAAUCUUUUCCAUUCUCUUGCAAUUACACUCACACAUACACUAAGAUGUAACUUACAAUUGACAAUUAUCAUCAAAACUUUAGCCAUACUUUCCAUCAGAACAUCCCUCCAGAGUAAACUGUUAUAUUGACAACAUGACUAAACAAUUUGACUGUCUUAUCUGUACACAAUGACACAAGGACUUGUCAUUCUGAUGGCACUGACAUGUUCAUUGACACAGAUAUUUACUUUUGAGAGAUGAACUAAGGAUUUUGAGUAAGAAAGUGGCUUUUGCAGGUUAUCCAUGGUGUUUUGCUAUUUGUACAAAUUGUUUUGAGAAAUGCACUUACUGUUUUGCAAAUUGUGAGUUUGAUUCAAGAAAUGUACCAAAGCGAAUGAGAAAAACUGUAAGUGCCCGGAGUGCCAAAAGUUUUUAAAUAAAUGCGAGUGUUGGAUGGAGGAGGAGGAAAGAGGGGGGGUGGACCAGGUGAGCAGGCAGAUGCAUGAAAGAAACAACGAGGGGGAAGGAAAAUCUGAUGAAGGACAAGCUGAAGAAUGACUACAACAAAAAGAAACGUAAGAAGGAGCGAGCAACAGAGAGGAAGAGGAAAGAGACAAAGAGAAUGCGAUAAGGAACAAACAAUGGAGCAGGUCACGCAAUGGACGGAAAUGGAGAUAUCUGACCGUUUUAACACUUUUAUAGAGGACGUGGAGAGAGGAGGACAAGGAGAGGUGGAUCAAAAUAAAGAGUCGGACAGUGAAGAAGAAAUCAAGUUGGACAGCAUGGACAAAGACAGAAGGGCGAGAGGACAAGUAAGAAGGAGAGCAUUGAAGGUAAAACCAAAUUUGGAAGGUGCAAGAAAAAAAAAUAAUGACAGAAACAAGAAACAGAUAUGGUGCGUUAAAGGGACUGGAGGGAGAAAA